GACGAACGCUGGCGGCGUGCCUAAUACAUGCAAGUCGAGCGGACCGGAUUGGGGCUUGCCUUGAUUCGGUCAGCGGCGGACGGGUGAGUAACACGUGGGCAACCUGCCCGCAGGACCGGGAUAACUCCGGGAAACCGGAGCUAAUACCGGAUAACACCGAAGACCGCAUGGUCUUCGGUUGAAAGGCGGCCUUUGGGCUGUCACUUGCGGAUGGGCCCGCGGCGCAUUAGCUAGUUGGUGAGGUAACGGCUCACCAAGGCGACGAUGCGUAGCCGGCCUGAGAGGGUGACCGGCCACACUGGGACUGAGACACGGCCCAGACUCCUACGGGAGGCAGCAGUAGGGAAUCUUCCGCAAUGGGCGAAAGCCUGACGGAGCGACGCCGCGUGAGCGAAGAAGGCCUUCGGGUCGUAAAGCUCUGUUGUGAGGGACGAAGGAGCGUCGUUCGAAGAGGGCGGCGCGGUGACGGUACCUCACGAGAAAGCCCCGGCUAACUACGUG
rnacentral:rRNA from 1 species